UUUAGAGUUUGAUUCUGGCUCAGGACGAACGCUGGCGGCGUGCUUAACACAUGCAAGUCGAGCGGUAAGGCCUUUCGGGGUACACGAGCGGCGAACGGGUGAGUAACACGUGGGUGAUCUGCCCUGCACUUCGGGAUAAGCCUGGGAAACUGGGUCUAAUACCGGAUAUGACCUCNNAUNGCAUGNNGGGUGGUGGAAAGAUUUAUCGGUGCAGGAUGGGCCCGCGGCCUAUCAGCUUGUUGGUGGGGUAAUGGCCUACCAAGGCGACGACGGGUAGCCGACCUGAGAGGGUGACCGGCCACACUGGGACUGAGACACGGCCCAGACUCCUACGGGAGGCAGCAGUGGGGAAUAUUGCACAAUGGGCGAAAGCCUGAUGCAGCGACGCCGCGUGAGGGAUGACGGCCUUCGGGUUGUAAACCUCUUUCAGCAGGGACGAAGCGCAAGUGACGGUACCUGCAGAAGAAGCA
rnacentral:rRNA from 1 species